GAAAUUAAUAUCAUCCAUUCGAUUAUGCUGAGAUUAAAUCUGGGCCGUUUAAACUCCACUUCUUAACCGCUGAGACAUCAGUUUGCGGCAGUUUCCUUGCUUCCACCAUUACCUGCCAUGUUCUCCGCAAGUUACAAAACUAUAUUUGGAUCGAGGGUUCAAUGUGGUUACCUUUAAAUGUUUAAAAUCCUCACACAGCAGUUGAGACCCUUCUCUUUCUCCCCACGUUGCCCGCCGGUAACCUCCACCUACAAGAAGCAAGGAACCCUUGAUUUCUUAGUUUGUUGUCGAUCAAAUGGAGAAGAGAAGACAAGAAGUGCAAUUAGGCUUCUGUUUAGUUCGUCACCUCUACUUCUUCAUCAAGAAAAGAUCGACAAUCUGUUUGCUGAUCUGUGCAACCCACCCGGCUUGCCCAAUUUCAACUUGAUCCUGAACCCAUCAUGAACUUGGUUCUUGAAGAAUUAGCUCUCUGUCUCUUCCAGAUUUUCAUGAUGUGAUCAAGCAUCCAAUGGACUUUGCAACCGAGAGGAAGAAGCUUGCAAAAGGAUUGUAUGUAUCUCUAAAAAUAGAUAUUAAAAAAUUAAAACCAAAAGUAAUAAAAUCCGGUAGCAGUUCCGUUUGCUCAACACCUUUGCAGGAAAUUUGAAAUCGUCUCUGGGAUGAGAUGAGACGAGAAAAUGGUGAAUUAAAUUGAAGACAAAUCUCCAGAUAAAGAAUCUGAUCAUUAGAUGAUGGUUGGACUUUAGAUUCGUGCAAUGAAGGUUGGACUUUAGAUUGGUUUUAUCAGAAUUGGCACUUAAUCCGUAAUUAUGCUAAUUUUCGUUAAUUCUGAUUGAAUUUGCUCAUUUUUUACUGUAAGAAAUCUGUCAUUUUUUCAAUUAUAUAUUUUUGUUGAUUUGCAUAGUUAUCAGGUAAGAGUAGAGUUUCAAUUGAAAACUUCAGAUGGAUAAAAAUGGUAGCAAUAAGGGAGUAUUACAAGAAGGGAAAUUUGUUUACUGGUAAGCAUCUAGAUUUAAACUAUGGUUUCUUAUGAUUAUAACUUUUAUGUUUGUGUUUGUGUUUGUGUUUGCGAAACCUACGACUGAUUUGUAAUAGCUGAAGUUGGCGAUUCUUCAUUUAGUGGGGUGACAAACUCUAAACGAUCGUUGCAUUUUCGGGUUACAAAGACGGGUCAACGCAUACAAAUCAACUAACAAAUUGUUCAGUCGAAAGUUGUUCGACUUACGAGGAAGGUCAACAAAUUGAAUAAGAGAUGAUCGGUUUGACCCUUCAAAAUUCAAAGAAGGUUGACAAUGAGCCAGAAUUUCCAGCAAGUAAUUUGUCAAUGAGUGUUGGAUUACUCAAUAGUGAAUGGAACACCGGUAGAAACUACACCGAAGAAAGAUCCAUCGGUAGGGGCUAAGAUGUCAUUCUAAUGGAUCAAACUAAUUACAGAAACGUAGAUUCUGUGAUGGAAGAGGCUGCUGAGAUGCCACAGAAGUUGUAGUUUCCUUAAUGCCCAUGAUCAUGGGAAUGAUGCAACUUCAAGUCUGAUGUGGUAAAUCUAUAAUAACAUAUGAUUACUUGUAUUGAAUAACAUAACUCGUGAAUCCUUGUGAAGCCACUAAGUCUGAUGUGGAGAAGGAUAAUCAACACAAGGGUGCAUUACAAUACUCUUAUCAAGAUAGCAAAAGAAGACGGUGAAAAGAAAAAAAUGAAGAAAAAAGUGUACACAUUUCAGAGAUGGAUGAUUCUAAUCAAGUUACAGUUAUUUGUUAUUAUUUUUUAAUGCAAGUGAACUUAUGAUUACUUAGUUGGAAGUGAACAGAGAAAAUGGAUAUGCAAUGGUUGAUUACAAAAGCUCAUACAAAGAAAGAUUGCUUUCCUACCAACAAGAUUAGGAGUUAUCACUAUUGAAAAUUGGAGAUCAACAGAUCACGCAGUUUUUAGCAUCUAAAUACGGGCCCGAAAUCGAAAAAUGAUGUGAACUGUGACGCUGGAUUGCAGCUGGCAAAAGAGCUGUGGCGGACAAAGGGAACCACCUCUUUCAUCAGUCACAUAUAUAGUAUCAAAGGGAAAGAGCUAUCAUUUUUAGUAGUUUUUUUUUUUUUCAUUUUCUUGAAUGUAAGCCCACUUAGUGUAUUUUUUUAGGCUGGUUUGUUCUACUUCUUAUCAAUAUGGGAACCACUAACAUAAAUUCUACAGGAUCAUUGUUGCAAGAUGAAUUUUUUUAAUGGCAAACGAAUGCUAUACAAGCCCGACCAUUCCGGUAAACUAAUUGGUGAAAGGUCACCCGCGCUUUGUGAAAACAGAUAGUUCUGAUGAUCAGGCCCACCCACAAUUCAAAGGGAAACCCACAACGUUAAUAUAUGUUAGUUUUGUUUGUCAUGUAUUUUGUGUAAUCUGACUCUAUUUUAUUUCUUUGUGUUCAUAGGUUCAUUCAUAUUGUUACUAUAUAAUACAUCAACGUAACCCGUCCACCGGACGGGUAUUAAACUAGUUAUGAUUAUGGUAACGGUCUGUGAAAUUUCGUGC